rnacentral:rRNA from 1 species
UACGGAGGGUGCAAGCAUUAAUCGGAUUUAUUGGGCGUAAAGGGCGCGUAGGCGGGUUUGUAAGUCAGAUGUGAAAUUCCGGGGCUCAACCCCGGAGCUGCAUUUGAAACUGCAAGUCUAUAGAGGGAUGACGGAGAAAAUGGAAUUCCACGUGUAGCGGUGAAAUGCGUAGAUAUGUGGAAGAACACCAGUGGCGAAAGCGGUUUUCUAGUUAUUACCUGACGCUGAGGCGCGAGAGCAAGGGGAGCAAACAGGAUUAGAUACCCUGGUAGUCCUUGCCGUAAACGAUGUAUACUUGAUGUAGUUGGGCUCAACCCUGACUGUGUCGUAGCUAACGCGAUAAGUAUACCGCCUGGGGAGUACGCUCGCAAGGGUG